CCUGGAAACAGAUGCUAAUACCGGAUAACAACAGAUGAUGCCUAUCAAACUGUUUAAAAGAUGGUUCUGCUAUCACUCUUGGAUGGACCUGCGGUGCAUUAGCUAGUUGGUAGGUAACGGCCUACCAAGGCGAUUAUGCAUAGCCUAGUUGAGAGACUGAUCGGCCACAUUGGGACUGAGACACGGCCCAAACUCCUACGGGAGGCAGCAGCC
rnacentral:rRNA from 1 species